GGGCACUGUCUCAACGAGAGACUCGGUGAAAUUAUAGUACCUGUGAAGAUGCAGGUUACCCGCGACAGGACGGAAAGACCCCGUGGAGCUUUACUGUAGCCUGAUAUUGAAUUUUGGUACAGCUUGUACAGGAUAGGUAGGAGCCUGAGAAGCCGGAGCGCUAGCUUCGGUGGAGGCGUCGGUGGGAUACUACCCUGGCUGUAUUGAAAUUCUAACCCGCGGCCCUGAUCGGGCCGGGAGACAGUGUCAGGUGGGCAGUUUGACUGGGGCGG
rnacentral:rRNA from 1 species